UAGGGAAUCUUGCGCAAUGGGCGAAAGCCUGACGCAGCAACGCCGCGUGGGGGAUGAAGGCUCUCGGGUUGUAAACCCCUUUCAGCAGGGACGAUUAUGACGGUACCUGCAGAAGAAGGACCGGCCAACUACGUGCCAGCAGCCGCGGUAAUACGUAGGGUCCGAGCGUUGUCCGGAUUUAUUGGGCGUAAAGAGCUCGUAGGCGGCUCAGUAAGUCGGAUGUGAAAACUCGGGGCUCAACCCCGAGACGCCAUCCGAUACUGCUGUGGCUUGAGUCUGGUAGGGGAACACGGAAUUCCUGGUGUAGCGGUGAAAUGCGCAGAUAUCAGGAGGAACACCAAUGGCGAAGGCAGUGUUCUGGGCCAGUACUGACGCUGAGGAGCGAAAGCGUGGGUAGCAAACAGGAUUAGAUACCCCCGUAGUCC
rnacentral:rRNA from 1 species